UACAGAGGGUGCGAGCGUUAAUCGGAAUUACUGGGCGUAAAGCGCGCGUAGACGGUUUUGUAAGUCAGAUGUGAAAUCCCUGGGCUCAACCUGGGAACUGCAUUUGAGACUGCAUGGCUAGAGUAUGGAAGAGGGAAGUGGAAUUUCCGGUGUAGCGGUGAAAUGCGUAGAUAUCGGAAGGAACACCGAUGGCGAAGGCAGGUCUCUGGGCUGACACUGACGCUCAUGCACGAAAGCGUGGGGAGCAAACAGG
rnacentral:rRNA from 1 species